AAGACUGUGUUUCACAGGGUCAUUUCUGUAGGCAAGUUUUCACCACAAGUUUUUCCCGAAAGGAAAGAUUUUCCACCCACGAUGAUGCGAAAAAGUGACUAGUCUGGAGCGUGAAACUUGAUUCAGUGAUGCUUUAUCGACACUCGAUCGACAAAUUUCUACAACAGAAGAGGUGUUGUGUUCCAUCGGGACAACGCAAGGCCACACAAUUCCGAAGG